CCCUACCAGGAGAAGCAAGGACCUUCUUCUCAACAUCAUCACAAAGACACAAGCUCUUGCCAUUUGGAGACCAACGCGGUCAACUAUAAGGAGAAAAUCCUUACCCAGCUUAAACUGUACCCUACCAGGAGAAGCAAGGACCUUCUCAACGUCAUCACAAAGACACAAGCUCUUGCCAUUUGGAGACCAACGCGGUCAACUAUAAGGAGAAAAUCCUUACCCAGCUUAAAC